rnacentral:rRNA from 1 species
UACGUAGGGGGCAAGCGUUGUCCGGAUUUAUUGGGCGUAAAGAGCGUGUAGGCGGCCAGACAGGUCCACUGUGAAAACUCGGAGGCUCAACCUCGAGAGGUCGGUGGAAACCGUCUGGCUAGAGUCCGGAAGAGGAGAGUGGAAUUCCCGGUGUAGCGGUGAAAUGCGCAGAUAUCGGGAAGAACACCCGUGGCGAAGGCGGCUCUCUGGGACGGUACUGACGCUGAGGCGCGAAAGCGUGGGGAGCGAACAGG